ACGGCUCAGUAACACGUAGUCAACAUGCCCAGGGGACGUGGAUAACCUCGGGAAACUGAGGAUAAACCGCGAUAGGUCAUCACUUCUGGAAUGGGUAAUGACUUAAAUCUAUAUGGCCCCUGGAUUGGACUGCGGCCGAUCAGGCUGUUGGUGAGGUAAUGGCCCACCAAACCUGUAACCGGUACGGGCUCUGAGAGGAGGAGCCCGGAGAUGGGCACUGAGACAAGGGCCCAGGCCCUAUGGGGCGCAGCAGGCGCGAAACCUCUGCAAUAGGCGAAAGCUUGACAGGGUUACUCUGAGUGAUUUCCGUUAAGGAGAUCUUUUGGCACCUCUAAAAAUGGUGCAGAAUAAGGGGUGGGCAAGUCUGGUGUCAGCCGCCGCGGUAAUACCAGCACCCCGAGUGGUCGGGACGUUUAUUGGGCCUAAAGCAUCCGUAGCCGGUUCUACAAGUCUUCCGUUAAAUCCACCUGCUUAACAGAUGGGCUGCGGAAGAUACUAUAGAGCUAGGAGGCGGGAGAGGCAAGCGGUACUCGAUGGGUAGGGGUAAAAUCCGUUGAUCCAUUGAAGACCACCAGUGGCGAAGGCGGCUUGCCAGAACGCGCUCGACGGUGAGGGAUGAAAACUGGGGGAGCAAACCGGAUUAGAUACCCGGGUAGUCCCAGCUGUAAACGAUGCAGACUCGGUGAUGAGUUGGCUUAUUGCUAACUCAGUGCCGCAGGGAAGCCGUUAAGUUUGCCGCCUGGGGAGUACGGUCGCAAGACUGAAACUUAAAGGAAUUGGCGGGGGAG
rnacentral:rRNA from 1 species